AGAGUUUGAUCAUGGCUCAGAUUGAACGCUGGCGGCAUGCCUAACACAUGCAAGUCGAACGGUAACGGGCCUUCGGGCGCCGACGAGUGGCGGACGGGUGAGUAACGCGUAGGAAUCUGCCCACGGGUGGGGGACAACCCGGCGAAAGCCGGGCUAAUACCGCAUAAGCCCUUCGGGGGAAAGCGGGGGGCCUUCGGGCCUCGCGCCGGUGGAUGAGCCUGCGUGGGAUUAGCUAGUUGGCGGGGUAAGGGCCCGCCAAGGCGACGAUCCCUAGCCGGCCUGAGAGGGUGGCCGGCCACACCGGGACUGAGACACGGCCCGGACUCCUACGGGAGGCAGCAGUGGGGAAUAUUGGGCAAUGGGCGCAAGCCUGACCCAGCAAUGCCGCGUGUGUGAAGAAGGCCUGCGGGUUGUAAAGCACUUUGAGCGGGGAGGAAGGCCCGGGGGCCAACACCCUUGCGGGCUUGACGUUACCCGCAGAACAAGCACCGGCUAACUCCGUGCCAGCAGCCGCGGUAAUACGGAGGGUGCGAGCGUUAAUCGGAAUUACUGGGCGUAAAGCGUGCGUAGGCGGCGCGGUCAGUCUCGCGUGAAAGCCCCGGGCUCAACCUGGGAACUGCGCGGGAUACUGCCGUGCUGGAGUGCGGGAGAGGGCGGUGGAAUUUCCGGUGUAGCAGUGAAAUGCGUAGAGAUCGGAAGGAACACCAGUGGCGAAGGCGGCCGCCUGGACCGACACUGACGCUGAGGCACGAAAGCGUGGGGAGCAAACAGGAUUAGAUACCCUGGUAGUCCACGCCGUAAACGAUGCGGACUAGCCGUCGGGGGCAAUCGGGCCCUCGGUGGCGCAGCUAACGCGGUAAGUCCGCCGCCUGGGGAGUACGGCCGCAAGGUUAAAACUCAAAUGAAUUGACGGGGGCCCGCACAAGCGGUGGAGCAUGUGGUUUAAUUCGAUGCAACGCGAAGAACCUUACCUGGCCUUGACAUCCUAAGAAUCCGGCAGAGAUGCUGGAGUGCCUUCGGGAGCUUAGAGACAGGUGCUGCAUGGCUGUCGUCAGCUCGUGUCGUGAGAUGUUGGGUUAAGUCCCGUAACGAGCGCAACCCUUGCCCUCAGUUGCCAGCGCGUCAUGGCGGGGACUCUGGGGGGACCGCCGGUGAUAAACCGGAGGAAGGUGGGGAUGACGUCAAGUCAUCAUGGCCCUUAUGGCCAGGGCUACACACGUGCUACAAUGGCCGGUACAGAGGGCGGCGAUACCGCAAGGUGGAGCAAAUCCCAGAAAGCCGGUCCUAGUCCGGAUCGCGGUCUGCAACUCGACCGCGUGAAGUCGGAAUCGCUAGUAAUCGCGGAUCAGAAUGCCGCGGUGAAUACGUUCCCGGGCCUUGUACACACCGCCCGUCACACCAUGGGAGCGGGUUGCACCAGAAGCAGGUAGUCUAACCGCAAGGGGGGCGCUUGCCACGGUGUGGUUCGUGACUGGGGUGAAGUCGUAACAAGGUA
rnacentral:rRNA from 1 species